UACGAAGGGGGCUAGCGUUGCUCGGAAUCACUGGGCGUAAAGGGUGCGUAGGCGGGUUUUUAAGUCAGGGGUGAAAUCCUGGAGCUCAACUCCAGAACUGCCUUUGAUACUGAGAAUCUUGAGUAUGGGAGAGGUGAGUGGAACUGCGAGUGUAGAGGUGAAAUUCGUAGAUAUUAGGAAGAACACCAGUGGCGAAGGCGGCUCACUGGCCCGGUACUGACGCUGAGGCGCGAAAGCGUGGGGAGCAACAGG
rnacentral:rRNA from 1 species